AAACCUCUUUCAGCAGGGACGAAGCCUUCGGGUGACGGUACCUGCAGAAGAAGCACCGGCCAACUACGUGCCAGCAGCCGCGGUAAUACGUAGGGUGCAAGCGUUGUCCGGAAUUAUUGGGCGUAAAGAGCUCGUAGGCGGUUCGUCGCGUCGGCUGUGAAAUCCCGGAGCUCAACUCCGGGUCUGCAGUCGAUACGGGCGGACUUGAGUUCGGCAGGGGAGACUGGAAUUCCUGGUGUAGCGGUGAAAUGCGCAGAUAUCAGGAGGAACACCGGUGGCGAAGGCGGGUCUCUGGGCCGAUACUGACGCUGAGGAGCGAAAGCGUGGGGAGCGAACAGGAUUAGAUACCCUGGUAGUCCACGCCGUAAACGUUGGGCGCUAGGUGUGGGGGCCAUUCCACGGUUUCCGUGCCGCAGCUAACGCAUUAAGCGCCCCGCCUGGGGAGUACGGCCGCAAGGCUAAAACUCAAAGGAAUUGACGGGGGCCCGCACAAGCGGCGGAGCAUGUUGCUUAAUUCGAUGCAACGCGAAGAACCUUACCUAGGCUUGACAUGCGCGGAAAUCCCGCAGAGAUGUGGGGUCCGUAAGGGCCGUGCACAGGUGGUGCAUGGUUGUCGUCAG
rnacentral:rRNA from 1 species